UUCCAGAUCAGUUUCUACUUGCGAUCAUUUUAUUUGAACCCUUGCUUGCCUUCCUCGUUACUUUUGCUCUUUAGAAAUCUUCCUUCAGCUUAUCCUUCCCUGGCUAAAUUUAAUGUGUCUCAUCUGGGUAACUUCUCUAGAGCAGACUGCACGCUUCGUGGUUCAGAUUUAGCAACUGAAUGUUUGAUGUCUGAUUUAUUCUUUUUUUUUUUUUUUUUUUUCUUUCUAUUUUUUCUUCUUCCUUUGGAAACUAGAGAAUAGCUAAUGUACUGCAGAAUAUUUUACCUUGACUACCUCACCUCUGGAACAGUUUGUCUGCUUGACACUUAAGGACAUGUGUGUACAUCUGAAUGUCCUUGAAUAAUUCUGAAAAAUUCACCACCCUCCAGAAAGAGAACCUGGAAAGUAACAUUUGCUGUAGAUGUCUGCUUCUGUCUGGUGUGAUGCUCCAUUCUUCUGGCUAUGUCACAUGCAGCACUGAGUAAUAUUGGUAAAUAGAAGAGGUCUCUUAGAAUAAGGUUUUUAAAGCUUCAUAGGGUAUGGAAUGAGACAACUCCACCUGCGCACUGAGAUUUGCUUAAAAUCCAAGCUGUUUGCAGGGAAGGGAAGUGCUAUUUCUUCUUUCUGCUCUUAAAAAAAAACAACAAACAUUAACACUGGCAAUUAAAAAUGAUGGAGAGCACUUGAUAUGCAUCCAGCCAGCUGUAGUUAUGUUUUAUAGAAAACAUUUAAAAUCAGCAGAUCUGAAAUGUUUUACUGAAAAUAAUUAAAAUAGCAUGUACUAACAUUUUUAGAUUUGUGAAAGAUACAAAUGCCCAUAA
rnacentral:lncRNA from 1 species